UACGAAGGGGGCUAGCGUUGCUCGGAAUCACUGGGCGUAAAGGGCGCGUAGGCGGAUCUUUAAGUCAGGGGUGAAAGCCUGAGGCUCAACCUCAGAAUUGCCUUUGAUACUGAAGAUCUUGAGACCGGAAGAGGUAAGUGGAACUGCGAGUGUAGAGGUGAAAUUCGUAGAUAUUCGCAAGAACACCAGUGGCGAAGGCGGCUUACUGGUCCCGGUUCUGACGCUGAGGCACGAAAGCGUGGGGAAUCAAACAGGAG
rnacentral:rRNA from 1 species